AGAGUUGAUCAGUGGCUCAGGACGAACGCUGGCGGCGUGCUUAACACAUGCAAGUCGAGCGAUGAAGCUCCUUCGGGAGUGGAUUAGCGGCGGACGGGUGAGUAACACGUGGGCAACCUGCCUUGUAGAGAGGAAUAGCCAUUCGAAAGGAUGAUUAAUACCUCAUAAUAUUGUAGCUUCGCAUGAAGCAACAACCAAAGGAGCAAUCCACUACAAGAUGGGCCCGCGGCGCAUUAGCUAGUUGGUGGGGUAACGGCUCACCAAGGCGACGAUGCGUAGCCGACCUGAGAGGGUGAUCGGUCACAUUGGGACUGAGACACGGCCCAGACUCCUACGGGAGGCAGCAGUGGGGAAUAUUGCACAAUGGGGGAAACCCUGAUGCAAGCAACGCCGCGUGAGUGAUGACGGUCUUCGGAUUGUAAAGCUCUGUCUUCAGGGACGAUAAUGACGGUACCUGAGGAGGAAGCCACGGCUAACUACGUGCCAGCAGCCGC
rnacentral:rRNA from 1 species